GGUGUAGUGGCCGAGUGGUUAAGGCGUCGGGUGCAGGUCCCGAUGGGUUUUACCCGCGCAGGUUCAAGUCCUGUCUGCACCG
rfam:Hyphopichia burtonii NRRL Y-1933 unplaced genomic scaffold HYPBTscaffold_4, whole genome shotgun sequence.